rnacentral:rRNA from 1 species
GUGUCAGCCGCCGCGGUAAUACGGAGGGUGCAAACGUUGCUCGGAAUUAUUGGGCGUAAAGCGCGUGUAGGCGGCAUGUUAAGUCGCGUGUGAAAGCCCUGGGCUCAACCCAGGAAUUGCGCGCGAAACUGGCGAGCUAGAGUACGGGAGAGGGUAGCGGAAUUCCCGGUGUAGAGGUGAAAUUCGUAGAUAUCGGGAGGAACACCAGUGGCGAAGGCGGCUACCUGGACCGAUACUGACGCUGAGACGCGAAAGCGUGGGGAGCAAACAGGAUUAGAAACCCUCGUAGUCC